UACGUAGGGUGCAAGCGUUGUCCGGAAUUAUUGGGCGUAAAGAGCUCGUAGGCGGGCUGUCGCGUCGGAUGUGAAAAUCCAGGGCUCAACCCUGGACCUGCAUUCGAUACGGGCAGACUAGAGUUCGGUAGGGGAGACUGGAAUUCCGCGUGUAGCAGUGAAAUGCGUAGAGAUGCGGAGGAACACCGAUGGCGAAGGCAGCCCCCUGGGCUAACACUGACGCUCAGGCACGAAAGCGUGGGGAGCAAACAGG
rnacentral:rRNA from 1 species